UACGGGGGGGGUAAGCGUUGUCCGGAUUUACUGGGCGUAAAGAGCGCGCAGGCGGUCGUUCAAGUCGAGUGUGAAAGCCCCCGGCUCAACUGGGGAGGGUCAUUCGAUACUGAUCGACUCGAAGGCAGGAGAGGGAAGCGGAAUUCCCGGUGUAGUGGUGAAAUGCGUAGAUAUCGUAAGGAAGACCAGUGGCGAAGGCGGGUCUCUGGACAGUUCCUGACACUGAGACGCGAAAGCGUGGGGAGCGAACAGG
rnacentral:rRNA from 1 species